AUGCAAUAUAACAGAGAAGGCCACCCCUCAGGACAAGUAAGUCAGGCACUCCACAGCAAAGGGAACAGCAAAUCCCAUUUACACAGGCUGCCCUGCCCUCUCCUUCAAUACAGUCAGCUAAAGUAUUUGAGCUCUUCUCCACGCUCGCCUUCAAGCCUGAAGAAAGAGGUUUUUAGUGACUCAUCACAGUGUGUGGACCGAUACCGUACAAUAGCUAAGUGGUGCACAAACACGGAACAAAAGGAUGCCAUCAAAACUAAAGAGCUCAGAACUUUCUUCUGUGUUAAAGCUCUAGUCAUGGCAAGACAGCACCUGCACAGCUCCACGCUCACCUUUACAGAAACUGAAGCACAAAUUCACGCCAAAAGAACUGUGGAGAUGUACACCGAGUCGCGGACACCCCACCCACUCCACACAGAGUAA
rnacentral:lncRNA from 1 species